CUGCAGAUGAAGCCUUUGCCUCUCAACAAAAGAAAAUCCGCUUCUUCCUAUGAAGUUUCUGGUUUUUUCCAGAGGACUGAACAGGUCAUCUUUGCCUCAUAAAUCAGAGCCUACAAGGUAGACCCAGGACCCCACUGUGCUAGGUUCUGCACAAACGCUGAACAGAGGCAGUAAAUGAUUACAGAGGGAUGGUAACUAAAAGGUGCUUUUCCCACAUGAGUGCAAGAAGAGUAGCUAGUUAAAAGAAGUGACUGCUGGGGAGGACAGCAUGACCGCCAUGAAAGGAAGCUGCCUCCUCUCACUGCUGUUGGCGGGACUUGGGGUAUUAGGAAUACUGGAGCCAACAACAACAGAAGAUACCCACUGCCACAGAGCUGAGCACCCAGUUAUUGCAU